GAGUUUGAUCCUGGCUCAGAACGAACGCUGGUGGUAUGCUUAACACAUGCAAGUCGAACGGACAUGGCCUAGUUUACUAGGAUUCUGUCAGUGGCGCACGGGUGAGUAACGCGUGGGAAUCUGCCCAGUAGUAUGGAAUAACAUUCAGAAAUGAAUGCUAAUACCGUAUACGCCCUUCGGGGGAAAGAUUUAUUGCUAUUGGAUGAGCCCGCGUUAGAUUAGCUUGUUGGUAGGGUAAUGGCCUACCAAGGCGACGAUCUAUAGCUGGUUUGAGAGGAUGAUCAGCCACACUGGGACUGAGACACGGCCCAGACUCCUACGGGAGGCAGCAGUGGGGAAUAUUGGACAAUGGGCGAAAGCCUGAUCCAGCAAUACCACGUGAGUGAUGAAGGCCUUCGGGUUGUAAAGCUCUUUCAACAAGGAAGAUAAUGACGGUACUUGUAGAAGAAGCACCGGCUAACUCCGUGCCAGCAGCCGCGGUAAUACGGAGGGUGCUAGCGUUGUUCGGAAUUACUGGGCGCAAAGGGCGCGUAGGCAGCUUGUCAAGUUGGAAGUGAAAUCCCGGGGCUCAACCCCGGAACUGCUUUCAAAACUGGCUUGCUAGAGUUAUGUAGAGGAUAGUGGAAUUCCCAAUGUAGAGGUGAAAUUCGUAGAUAUGGGGAGGAACACCAGAGGCGAAGGCGACUAUCUGGGCAUAUACUGACGCUGAGGCGCGAAAGUGUGGGG
rnacentral:rRNA from 1 species